CCUACGGGAGGCAGCAGUGAGGAAUAUUGGUCAAUGGCCGAGAGGCUGAACCAGCCAAGUCGCGUGAGGGAAGAAUGUCCUAUGGAUUGUAAACCUCUUUUGUCAGGGAGCAAAGUCACCCACGUGUGGGUGUUGGAGAGUACCUGACGAAAACGCAUCGGCUAACUCCGUGCCAGCCGCCGCGGUAAUACGUAGGAUGCGAGCGUUAUCCGGAUUUAUUGGGUUUAUAGGGUGCGUAGGCGGGUUAUCACGUAAGCGGUAAAAGCGUGGAGCUCAACUCCAUCCAGCCGUUGAAACUGAUGAACUUGAGUGGGCGAGAAGUAUGCGGAAUGCGUGGUGUAGCGGUGAAAUGCAUAGAUAUCACGCAGAACUCCGAUUGCGAAGGCAGCAUACCGGCGCCCGACUGACGCUGAAGCACGAAAGCGUGGGUAUCGAACAGGAUUAGAUACCCUGGUAGUC
rnacentral:rRNA from 1 species